rnacentral:rRNA from 1 species
CACUUAGCCAAAGCCAUGAACAUUCAAUAAAGAGUACCUUAGCUAGGUAAAGGGGUAGCAAGUCGUAACAUGGUAAGUGUACCGGAAGGUGCACUUGGAUAAA